rnacentral:rRNA from 1 species
CUACGGGCGGCAGCAGUAAGGAAUAUUGCGCAAUGGGCGAAAGCCUGACGCAGCGACGCCGCGUGGGGGAUGAAGGUCUUCGGAUUGUAAACCCCUUUCGGGAGGGAAGAUGGGAUGGGUAACCAUUCGGACGGUACCUCCAGAAGCAGCCACGGCUAACUUCGUGCCAGCAGCCGCGGUAAUACGAAGGUGGCAAGCGUUGUUCGGAUUCACUGGGCGUACAGGGAGCGUAGGCGGUUGGGUAAGCCCUCCGUGAAAUCUCCGGGCCCAACCCGGAAAGUGCAGAGGGGACUGCUUGGCUAGAGGACGGGAGAGGAGCGCGGAAUUCCCGGUGUAGCGGUGAAAUGCGUAGAGAUCGGGAGGAAGGCCGGUGGCGAAGGCGGCGCUCUGGAACGUUUCUGACGCUGAGGCUCGAAAGCGUGGGGAGCAAACAGGAUUAGAUACCCUCGUAGUC